rnacentral:rRNA from 1 species
GAUGAACGCUGGCGGCGUGCCUAAUACAUGCAAGUCGAGCGAACAGACGAGGAGCUUGCUCCUCUGACGUUAGCGGCGGACGGGUGAGUAACACGUGGAUAACCUACCUAUAAGACUGGGAUAACUUCGGGAAACCGGAGCUAAUACCGGAUAAUAUAUUGAACCGCAUGGUUCAAUAGUGAGAGACGGUUUUGCUGUCACUUAUAGAUGGAUCCGCGCCGCAUUAGCUAGUUGGUAAGGUAACGGCUUACCAAGGCGACGAUGCGUAGCCGACCUGAGAGGGUGAUCGGCCACACUGGAACUGAGACACGGUCCAGACUCCUACGGGAGGCAGCAGGAGGGAAUCUUCCGCAAUGGGCGAAAGCCUGACGGAGCAACGCCGCGUGAGUGAUGAAGGUCUUCGGAUCGUAAAACUCUGUUAUUAGGGAAGAACAAAUGUGUAAGUAACGAUGCACGUCUUGACGGUACCUAAUCAGAAAGCCACGGCUAACUACGU